rnacentral:rRNA from 1 species
UUAAGCAUAUUAGUAGGCGGCGGAAGAUAACCCAAAAGGGAUUCCUUCAGUAAUGGCGAAUGAACGGGGAAAAGCUCAGCAAAGAAAUCAGGGACCCCGGCCUUGAGUUGUGGACUUGAGAGGUAUUGCCAAUGGUGGCGCAGGUGCGGGCCUCUUGGAAAAGGGCACCACAGAGGGUGUGAGUCCUGUUUGUCAUCUGUAGUCCGCCAUGUACGGCAUGAUUCCUCAGAGUCACGUUCCUUGGAAUUGGAGCGCGAAGGUGGUGGUGGCUUUCAUCUCAAGCUAAGUAUGGGUUCGAGACCGAUAGCAAACAAGUACCAUGAGGGAAGAUUGAAAAGAGCUUUGGAAAGAGAGUUAAAAGUGCCCGAACUUGCUGAUAGGGAAGCGAAGGGAGCUGACGUUGCUUGGUGACAUAUUCCGCGCAAGAGUAGGAUGGGUUCUGAUUGCAAUCUGCGUAGUGCUUCUUGCCGUGCGUGUCGAUGCCAAGCAAUGAGUGGGGAGAGCACCAGGGAUAAUGAUUGUUUCUGUCCCCGGGUGGACGAAGGUGCCUGGUCGCAUCCAUUUGUGGGCUGAAACAAAUGGUGGCUGGUUGCAGCGCCCUGUGCCUGCUAGGCAGUUGGGGUGCAGCCCUGAUA